AAAGUUAGGGUUUCAGUAGGUGCACCUGCGGAAGGUCAUUA
rnacentral:rRNA from 1 species